ensembl:lncRNA
GGAGAGGAGAGGAGAGGAGAGGGGCUGUUGUUUUGUGUGUUUGUUUUCUUUUGCUUUAGGGUUCUAAACUGAAUAACACUUAAGGCUCACUCUGUAUGCUAUUCCAGGACGGUGCCCUCUUAGGCUUAAACUAUGAUGAAAUACUCUCCAGUGAUUCAUAUCCCUUUAACACUGAAAUGCUAUCUGGCAAUAUAAUAGAAAGGCUAUAUGAAUAUGUCAUCCCUGCGUCACGGUAAUCAUAAGCCCUGUGCAUGUGCUACGUUUAUUACAGCCUCCAUCAUUCUCACAGCCGUACACGGGGCUCCGGGCAGCGGACGGUGCCGUUGUUGGGGGUCCUGCUGCCACCUCGAGGUACGGAGCCGAACUGCCACCUUCGGUGUGAAACGGGAGGAAAAAACACAGUUCUGAACGCGCAGCACCUCAAAGUCCCUCCAAGAGCCCCCAGCUACUGCCCUGAGCCCUGCAGUUCUCCCUGCAGCCCCUUAACAACACCAGGAGUGCCGGCAGCACCUCGUGCCUUAGGAUUUACAGUAAUUUAACAUAAUUCAAAACAGUCGAAGGUGGUGUUGGUGGACAGCCCAGGUUUGGAGGGGUAGGGCUGGGGCCGGUGCUGGUGCCCCUGGAGCACUGCCGCUGCUCUCUGUGCACCGCGGGGGCCGGCGAGGAGCCCAGGGCUGCAGGGAGCCGUCUUUGUUGGCUCUGGCCGUGUCUCCUGCUGCACCACGUGGGCCGGUUUCUGCGGACGCUCCUGCUCGGGCUGAGCCCACCCAGCUUCGCCUAGCGCCGGCGUUUCUGUCCUGGAGCGUCCUGGCCCAGCGGCACCUUCCUCUUUCUGCUUGCGAUGCGGCCAGUGCGCUGCUCGUGCCAUCUGCUCUUGCCUUUCCUGGUGGUGCAGGCGGGCGUUGGGCACUCGGCCGGCUCGCUGCCGUCCCCGCAGUGGUUGUCAGAAAUGUGGCAGGAGAUGCAGCCAGGUAGCAGUGCCAGGCGGGUGAGAACCACCCGGAGCUGCCUCCGCUGCACAUCUUGGAUCAGAUGUGCAGUGCGGGGCAACAGAGGUGCGGGGGCAGCCAGGGGGGUCGGCAGUGCCAGGCGGGUGAGAACCACCCGGGGCUGCCUCUGCCGCGCCUCUUCCAUCAGAUGCCCGCAGGGCAGCGGCUCAGAGAACUGCCCAGAGGAUGCUGGCUGCCCCGAGAACGGCUCGCUGAGGGGCCCGGCGUCAGCCUGCGCCUCUCCGCUGAGCUCCCUGCUGCCGCUGGGACGGUCACGGAGGGCUCUGAUGAAAGGAGAGGUGCUGAGCCUGCUGGGGACGGCUGGGAACGCCUGCUGGGGGACCUCCCGAGGACUCGACGCUUCUGCAAAACAAAGAACAUCCCCCAAAACCAGGACGGCAGCCUUCCCACAGCCACUCGGCGCGGACAUCCAUCCGCCACCGCUGCGGCCCCUGAACUCACCAACGAUCCAGCUGAGCAAACCGUCGAGUUCCAUGCUGUCAUCUGGAAUGCCUGAGCUGGGUGUCCCUUCUGGGAAAAGGAAGGAAAUCCCCAAGGGGGCAAUGCCAGCUUUCCCACAGCCACUCGGAGCAGACAUCCCCGCCUGCUCUGCAGCCCCUGAACUCACCGUUGCUGAUCCACGACAGAAUAUCAUCGAUCUCCACGCUGUCGACCGGGAUGUCUGUAUUGGAGGUCAUGUCUGGAAAAGGCAAGAAAAUCCCCACGGGGGCAAUGCCAGCUUUCCCACACCCACUACUCCGGACACCCAACCCACCACCCCUGCAGACCAAAAACUCACCACUGAUCCACGUGAGCAGAUCGCCCAUGUCGCUGUCAACCACGUCCUCUGGGAUGUCUGCGCUCGCUGUGGCUGCUGGAAAAGCAAGGACAUCCCCAGUGGGGCAAUGCCAGCUUUCCCACAGCCACCCGGUGCGGACAGCCUGCCGCACGCCCCGCAGCCCCCAAACUCACCCCCUGAGUCCAG